rnacentral:tRNA from 1 species
UUAAAGAUAAUUUAAAUCAAAAUACCGGCUUUGGGAGUGGGAAAUCAGAGUAUUCUGUCUUUAAA